UCAUAUGUACAUGCCUACAACGUUAAUGCAUCAGAUACCAUUAGAACUAUGUAGUUAAGUGCAUUGGGGAUAUAGUAGUACUAUGAUGGGUGACCUCCUGAUAAGUCUUAGUGUUUUACAUGCC
rfam:Picea glauca, whole genome shotgun sequence.